GACGAACGCUGGCGGCGUGCUUAACACAUGCAAGUCGAACGGAAAGGCCCUGCUUUCGUGGUGUUCUCGAGUGGCGAACGGGUGUGUAACACGUGUGUAACGUGCUCUAGUCUUUGGUAUAACUUCAGGAAACUGGGGCUAAUCCCGUAUAGCAGCUCCUGCUGCAUGGUGGGGGUUGGAAAGUUUCGGCGGGUGGGGAUGGACUGGCGGCUUAUCAGCUUGUUGGUUGGGGAGUGGCUUACCAAGCCUUUGGCUGGUAGCCGGCCGGGGUGGGGGACCGCCCACAUGGGGCCUGCGGGAGGCCCCAGACUCCAACGGGGGGCAGCGGUGGGAAAUCUUGCACAAUGGGGCGAAGCCGGAGGCAGCAACCCCGGGGGCGGAAGGACGGCUUUCGGGUUGAAAACCGCUUCCGCCUGUGACGAAGCUUUUGUGACGGUACUGAGAAAAGAAGCACCGGCUAACUACGUG
rnacentral:rRNA from 1 species